UACGUAGGGGGCAAGCGUUGUCCGGAAUCAUUGGGCGUAAAGAGCGUGUAGGCGGUCCGGUAAGUCGGCUGUGAAAGUCCUGGGCUCAACCCUGGGAUGCCGGUCGAUACUGCCGGACUAGAGUUCGGAAGAGGCGAGUGGAAUUCCCGGUGUAGCGGUGAAAUGCGCAGAUAUCGGGAGGAACACCUAUGGCGAAGGCAGCUCGCUGGGACGUUACUGACGCUGAGACGCGAAAGCGUGGGGAGCAAACAGG
rnacentral:rRNA from 1 species